rnacentral:rRNA from 1 species
UACGGAGGGUGCGAGCGUUGUCCGGAAUCACUGGGCGUAAAGGGCGCGUAGGCGGCUCGUGAAGUCAGUGGUGAAAGCCCAGGGCUCAACUCUGGGUCGGCCACUGAUACUCGCGAGCUCGAGUUUGGUAGAGGCAGAUGGAAUUCCCGGUGUAGCGGUGAAAUGCGUAGAUAUCGAGAGGAACACCAGUGGCGAAGGCGAGUCCCUGGACAACACCUGACACUGAGGCACGAAAGCUAGGGGAGCAAACAGG